UAGGGAAAAUAAUUUACACCAAUAUCUAAAAACUUAAUAUGUCAAGUUUCCCUAGCGGAAAAUUUAAUAUUCAUUUAAUUUAUUGAGGUUAUCUAUUAGAAUAUGUUUUGAACUAUAUAUUAUUAAUACAUAUAAUAUUUUAUGUUCCUAUUUCACUUUUAACUUGAUGUAUAAACAUAGACAUCAGUGCCACUGAAUUGAACUAAAACUACCUAUGUUUAAUAAUAUAUUCACUGUAUAAUAUUUUGAAGGUGAAUGUAGAUACUUUUAUGAUAAAAUCAAAAUUAAAUACUUGUAUGGUGUUUGACAAGUGAAUGCACAUCAAUAAUCUAUUUAUAUAAUUGAAUACCUCUUCUAGUUUUAUCUAAUAUAUCUUAAAUGUUUAAGUAGAUUUGAUUUUAAUUUCUAAAAAUAGUUACCUUUAGUACUCUAGUAUUAAUUUAUGUAAAUUUAUCA